rnacentral:pre_miRNA from 1 species
GUAGUACUCCCUCCGUCCGAAAAUACUUGUCGAAGAAAUGCAUAAAAAUGAAUGUAUCUAGAACUAAAAUACAUCUAGAUACAUCCAUUCCUCCGACGAGUAUUUCCGGACGGAGGGAGUACUCA